GAUCUGCGCGAAUUUUCGGAGUCUCAUUCUCUGAUUCUCUCCGCAAUUUGGCUGCCGCCUGGUGUUGCGCCACUGUUCCCAUUUCAAGAGGAUUUGACCACUUGGGGCCUAGGAGGAGAGUAAAUUACAGAAAUGACAUGAAUUAUUUGUGCAGUAUCUGCAGCAACCUGAUGAUGCAGUUGCUGAAGGAAAUUGAAGAUGAGUUUUUGCAAAGGGACAGAGAAAAAGAAAAGAGUAGGACAACUGAACUGAGAAUGGAAGCAUUGCUGACGACUUUCUUCUGGCUAUAAUCUUGUCAAAAGCCAUGUUUUGCAGAGAAAAUCUGCCGCUUGGGAGUGGAGUAGCUGGACUGCUUGUGAUUGAAGCGCUCAUGGAUAUUGCAGGUAAAGCUGUCUCAUCAAUCUUAAUUAUCUCGUCUGUCUUAACUCUUGGAAAUGGAGUUGCUGGACUGUCUGUGAUGGAAGUAUCCACAGAUAUUGCAGGCAAAGCUGUCUCGGCUAUCUUGUAUAUCUCAUCUGUCUUAAUCCUCGGAAAUGGAUUUGCUGGAUUGUUCGUCAUGGAAGUACCCAGAGAUAUUGCAGGCAGAGCUGGCCCGUCGAUCUUAACUAUCUCACCUUUGCUACUUGUGCCUUUCUCCAAGUUGGCAGACUUCUGAAGCACGGACUUGGUUGGUUUAGCUUGUGGCUUGGGCUUGGGCGGACAUAUUUCUUUCAUGUGGCCUUUAGGAGUUCCUCUCUUUAGAUUAAUAUGUAAACAGUGGUGGCAUUUGUAGACGACAUUAUUCUUCGUCGAAGUACUAAAUCUCUUGUGUCGA